GACGAACGCUGGCGGCGUGCUUAACACAUGCCAGUCGAACGGUGAAGCGCCUUCCUUUUUGGUGGGUGUGGAUGAGUGGCGAACGGGUGAGUAACACGUGAGUAACCUGCCCCCUUCUUCUGGAUAACCGCAUGAAAGUGUGGCUAAUACGGGAUAUUCUGGGUCUGUCGCAUGAUGGGUCUGGGAAAGAUAUUGUUUCGGUGGGGGAUGGGCUCGCGGCCUAUCAGCUUGUUGGUGGGGUGAUGGCCUACCAAGGCGGUGACGGGUAGCCGGCCUGAGAGGGUGGACGGUCACACUGGGACUGAGACACGGCCCAGACUCCUACGGGAGGCAGCAGUGGGGAAUAUUGCACAAUGGGCGCAAGCCUGAUGCAGCGACGCCGCGUGAGGGAUGGAGGCCUUCGGGUUGUGAACCUCUUUCGCCAGUGAAGCAGGCCUGCCUCGUUUGUGGGUGGGUUGACGGUAGCUGGAUAAGAAGCGCCAGCUAACUACGUG
rnacentral:rRNA from 1 species